AACGAACGCUGGCGGCAUGCCUAACACAUGCAAGUCGAACGAGACCUUCGGGUCUAGUGGCGCACGGGUGCGUAACGCGUGGGAACCUGCCCUUAGGUUCGGAAUAACUCCCCGAAAGGGGUGCUAAUACCGGAUAAUGUCUUCGGACCAAAGAUUUAUCGCCUUUGGAUGGGCCCGCGUUGGAUUAGCUAGUUGGUAGGGUAAAAGCCUACCAAGGCGACGAUCCAUAGCUGAUCUGAGAGGAUGAUCAGCCACACUGGGACUGAGACACGGCCCAGACUCCUACGGGAGGCAGCAGUGGGGGAUAUUGGACAAUGGGCGAAAGCCUGAUCCAGCAAUGCCGCGUGAGUGAUGAAGGCCUUAGGGUUGUAAAGCUCUUUUACCCGGGAUGAUAAUGACAGUACCGGGAGAAUAAGCUCCGGCUAACUCCGUG
rnacentral:rRNA from 1 species